UAGUUUAUUGAAUUUGUAGUGUUUAGUAUUAGCAUAAUUGAUCUAGACCAUAUUGCUGAAAUCUAAGGAAUUUGAUGAAAAUCCUUCUCUAUACUAGGAUUACAUUUAUGUGAAAUCGUAUGUGCUUGGUGGGGGAGAUGGGUAGUUUGGUUGAAGGUCAAUGAGUUUGAGAAUUGAGGUGGAGAAGAGAUUUCUUUGUCUGGGAGCUUAAUCUCUUGGAAAGUCUCCAUGAAAUUUUUAACCGCUCAACAAUCUCUACAACAGAUGAUUCUUGGUUUUGGAAGCAUGAUUCAACCGGCCACUAUUCAGUUAAAUAGACUUUUUUUGGCACUUAGUCCUUCCACAUCUUAUGAGGUCAUCUUCUCUGCAGAGGAAGAAAGGAUGCUCCAAAAGUGUGGAAAACUUGGGCCCAUUCAAAAGUGGUGUUCUUCUCUUAGCAACUUCUGCAGGAUGGUUGCCGACUCGUCAACGAUGCACCUAAAAACAUAGGUUCUUUUGCAGGAUAAUAUUUGAUCAAUAAUAUAGACCAAAUACAUUAAUUAUAUGAUGACCUUAAAAAUGUGAAUUUUGAUUAUAUUUUGUCACCGAUAUACUGCAUUACUAUGUAUGUUUGACAAUUCAUACAUGUUGCAUGAUUUGAUAAAGAUAUCAACGAUGCAUCAUGCAUGCAUGAUUUCUAUCAAUAACUUUGUCAUGAUCCAACUAUAUUAUUUUUUGUGUUAUUUUUCCUUUUUAUGAUGAAAGGUUAAAAAUAAUGAUAUGUUAAAUGUUGUUAAAAAAUUAUGAAUUCUCACGAUUGGCAAGUUUUUUAGACCUCCUUACUAAGUGUGCUAAAGAGACAAAUUCAACUCAUUGAUGUACUUAAGAGACAUUUAGUAAUAUAUAUGAUUCUAAUUUUAUAAAGAUUUCUUUUUUUUUUUUUUACAAUUCUAUAAGUGCUGAAAAAAAUUAAUUGAUGUAAAGGUAGCAUGAACUUUAUAUAUCAUAGUGUUCAAACCAUUUUCUAUUUGCUAUACAUGCAGAGGGAGAAUAUAUAAUGGCCAAAAUUAUGAAAAAAAAUUAUGCUAUUAUCCUUUUUCUUUCCCUAUUUCUACUUGCAUCAGAAGUUAAUGCCUUUGUUGAAUGUUAUUAUAACAUUGAUUGUCCACAAAUGUGUUAUGCUAAUUUUGUUAUCAAGUGUAUUAACGAAAAGUGUCUAUGUGUUCAAAAGGAUGUUUCAGUACCAUGAAAGCCUAUAUGCUAGGGACCUUGCUUUAAUGACUUUGUACUAUAAGAUGAUAGUAGUAUAAAAUGAAAUAAGGAAAUUGUCUGGGGAUAGUCUCUCUAAUUUUUUA